UACGUAGGGUGCAGGCGUUAAUCGGAAUUACUGGGCGUAAAGCGUGCGCAGGCGGUCUUUUAAGUCAGAUGUGAAAUCCCCGGGCUUAACCUGGGAACUGCGUUUGAAACUGGAAGGCUAGAGUGUGGCAGAGGGGGGUGGAAUUCCACGUGUAGCAGUGAAAUGCGUAGAUAUCUGGAGGAACACCGGUGGCGAAGGCGGCAUCCUGGACCGGCAUUGACGCUGAGGCGCGAAAGCCAGGGGAGCAAAGCGG
rnacentral:rRNA from 1 species